GAGCCGCUAGCUCAGCUGGUAGAGCAACGGACUUUUAAUCCGUAGGUCCCAGGUUCAAGUCCUGGGCGGCUCA
rnacentral:tRNA from 1 species